CACGCGGCGUCGCUGAGGAAACCCCGAGGGAGUCCAAUCCUGACCAGAGAGAGCAGGCUGACAAGAGGUGGAGACCAGCCAGGUGUCCAGACCCUCGCCCAGUGGCGGAUCCAAGAUGGGGCCGUUGGGAUGGGGCCAAGGUGGGUUCAGCUUCUCCAAUCUCCAUCACACCCCCUCCUCCCAGCCGCCCCAAACAGCAUUCAUUCUAAGAACAGAUCCGUGGUCUUGAAACUCAGCUUCGAGACCCGCCGGCAAGACCACCUUAGGGGUGGGUCACUGUGAACAUUCUGGGGCUAGCAACCUCCUUUCGUCCGGGGGACAGGCGGAAGACGGCAUCUCCCUCAGAAUGCAGCCUGGGCCCAAUCCUCAGGCUGAUAAGUGAAGGAGUUAGAGCAAGGAACCUGGGGGGUACACAAGGAGAAAAAAAGGAGGACCCUGCCAGUCCUGCGGGGGUGUUGGGCGGAGGACGGGCGAGAAGCUUUCAGAUAUAUGCUCUGCGCGCUAGGAGAAAGUGCUUUGCACUCCGCGGGCAUCGUGCAGGUGCGGGUCAGGGUUACUCCACUGGGUCUCCUGGUCCCUCCACGCCUCCAUCCUUAAACAAAAUAUCAGGAGCGGAAGUUCCAGUUUGAGGACUAGCGCACCUAGGUUUGAAUUCUAGCUCUACACUUACUAGCUCUGAGGGCUUGAACAAGUUACUUAACCUCCCUGUGCCUCACUGUCCUCAUCUGUACAAUGGGGUUAUAAUAGGACUUAUCUCAAAGGGCUGUUGUAAAGACGAAAUAAGCCUUUAGAACUUGCCUGGCAGCCAGCACAACUUUGUCAUUACUCUAUGUAUCUUGGCUCUGCCCCUCACAUCACAUUAACCUCACAAUGCCUCAGUUUCUCGCCUGCAGAAUGGACUACCUCCUAAGAUUGUUGUUAAUAUUAAAUGAGCUAAUACAGACACAACGCUUAGAGCAGCGGCUGGCGAAGGUAAGAUCUGAGAGGUAGCUAUGAAUGUCGUUGCGGUUAUCCAUCAACUACUGCAUGUCAGUGUCUCCAAGUGUCACCCUCUUCCCUCUCUCCCUUUCCCUUGUUCUUCCCUGCCCCUUUCCUACCUAAAGCGCUCUUAUGUGGGCAAUUACCUCCUUUACCUCUCUGUGGGACCCCUCAGAGCCCAGACCACUGUUCAGAUCGUGACCCCGGUGGAGCCGGCACCCUUGGCCCCUAGGGGCCAGGCUGGGCUCCUCCCUCAUGGGGCCUGGGCGCCUGGGCCUGCGGUGUUUGUCAACAACUCCUGAGCCGGGUGCCUGCCGGACAACGGCAGGGGCUUGGCAGCCUGCAACUGUUUGUGCCCCUCUGGCAAAUGUUCGAUGGAGGGAGCCGGUGGAACAGACUCAAGAUUGUCCCUGCCACGCAGACCUUUCGCCGCCAUCAAUGCACCCCUUUGUGCAACAAUACAAACUUUGUGGCUGCUGAAAAAUCCAUUUUUCCACCUUGAAAAGAGCUCCUGCAGCGAGCAGCUUCUCUGGCGGCCCACAGCUCCCAGACUGCCGUCUCCUCGCCUCCGCUUUGUCCCUGACCCGUGGCCUGAGUCGGGUUCCGGGGCUCCCACGUGCCCCUCUAGGGCUCCUCAUCCCUGAGGUCCUGGGUCCCGGGGUGUGUAUGGACUCGAGGGUUCCUAUGAGUGGGAGAGAGACUGCAGCUCCCCUCCCCGGGGCCAUUUACAAUCCUCAGUGCAGAGCUAGAAGUGAGAGCUCCUCUUGCCGGGCUCGGGUACUCCGAGUGGUGGGAGUACCCGAGUACUCUUCCUAAACUUCUCAGGAAAACUGGGGACAGCGAAUCCGUGCGCGCCUUAGUCUAACCUUAAAGUAUGCUCUGUAACCUCCUGGGAGUCAUUUUGCUAUCCAUCCAUUCACUGGUUAUUGCUACAUGAAUUACACUGUAUUUCAUUCAUUCAUUCACUCACUCAGGCAUUGUCAAUGAAACACCCCUUUUUGGGCCAAGCCUCUAGGAUUAGGCCUUCCCUUCCUGAAAUGACGAGUGACUGCUUCACACGGGAAGAUGCGUCCGUGUGACAAGUUUUCCUUUAGAGAGAUCUGAGGAGGGUUGGACGCAUAAUUGGCAAUCCUUGGACAGGACCCGAGAGUCUGCAUCCCAUCACACAGGGCCAGGGACUGCCCUGGCAUUUGCCCGACACUCGAGGGAGCUCAGCUGGGCCUCACUGACCGGUCUGGGGAGCACUUGGAGGCGGGGCUUCAGGAUGGGGAGGGCGGGGCAGAGAUCUGGGAAAAGUAUGCGGGUGUUUGCAGCACUGCGGAGAGUCCUUCCUCCUCCGCUCUCGGACUGACUCAGAUGGUCCUAAGCUUUGGGUCCCUACUCGGAGGGCGUCAGGUCGCGGCUGCAUGGCGUGAGGGGACCCAGUCACCGCCCCUCCCAUGAGCAGGGCCUCCUGGUGCGCACUCCCCGCCCCACCCAGCCAGCGGAUUUUCAUUUAACUUGUAACCCAGGUGUCCCAGCUUCAGUUUGUUUACAUUCUUGGAAACUGUUGUGGAAAAGAAAAAAAAAAACCAAAACCCUUCGAUGUGCUGUCAAAUAUAGCAAUCUGCGCUUCCGAAGGGCGGGCGGGGCCAAAGAAGGUGGGCUCGAGGACUGAGCGCGUGUCUCACCUGUAGGAGAAGCGCGUGGCGCCCGCAUACCCGCACACAACCCCACAUACACACGCCCACAUGCAAACAGGCGCACGCAUGCACACAUGCACAGACGCGCUCACACACAAGCGCGCGCACGCGCUUAAUGCAGGGAACACGCUGUGCGCCAGCCGCUCAGAGCACCCCACCCGUUGGGACCUGACGCGGCGAGCUGCUCGGUCUUCCUGCACAGGCUUCGCCAGGCUCUCCUGCUCCAAGUUUCCCAAACACUAGCCGCCAGGAGCGUUGCUUCUCAACCUAGGAUUCCCGAGGGCUGAGGAGCAGAAGCUUACAGAGCUGCCAACACUCGCCCCUCAGUGCACAGACCUGCUUGACUUCCUCACCACCCUUUCUCUGCCAGCAUCCAGCUGCGCUGCUCUUCCCUGCUGGUGGCCCGGGGACGGAGGAAGACUAACGCAAGGUUAGGGAGGUCUGUGGAGGCCCCUUAGAAAAUAGGUUUUUGGGAAGAGACUGCUACAAUGACUGUCAGGUCCUCAUUUUUAGUGGCAGGAGAGUCUUACUUAGGUCUGAUAAUUUGGGCUGGAAGGCGCAAAAGCCACCCUAGGUUGCCAGGUGCCUCUGCGUGAGUGGGUCUCUCCCUGACUUAGCCCAGUCUGGCGGCCGUAUCUCUCCUCUUCCUUUCCUUCCUUCUCUUAACCAUCUUUAACGUGGCGGCUCACAGCUUCUCUGGCAGCCAAUGUGUUUCUGAUAAAGCACUUUUCUCCCCACUAACAAAUUCCAGCUUUUUUUUUUUUUUUUUUUUUUUUUUGGCUCCUCAAGCCACAAGAGAACACACACUAGUGCAGGGACAAGGUAUAUUCCUCGGGCCCAGAGAUUCCCUUCGCCGCCUCCG
rnacentral:lncRNA from 10 species